GGAGGGUAGGCAAAUAUUGGUUCGUUGCGCUCGCCUGCUAAGCGAGUCUAUCGAUACGGUAGUGAAGGUUCAAUUCCUUUGCCCUCCG
rnacentral:tRNA from 1 species